rnacentral:misc_RNA from 1 species
GAAGCUGGCCUUUAUUUUGCUAAAAUUGGCCUCGGGAAUCCACCAAGGGACUACUAUGUGCAAGUUGAUACUGGAAGUGACAUUCUCUGGGUGAAUUGUGUCAACUGCGACAAGUGUCCCACAAAAAGUGAUCUUGGUGUAAAAUUGACAUUGUAUGAUCCAAAGAGUUCUGCUUCUGCAACAAGGGUUUAUUGUGAUGAUGAAUUUUGUGCUGCUGCAUACAACGGUGUGCUUCAAGGUUGCACAAAAGACUUGCCCUGCCAAUACAGUGUUGUUUAUGGUGAUGGAAGUGCAACAGCUGGAUUCUUUGUGAGGGACAAU